CAAGACAACUUUACGGAGUUGACGAUUGACGGAGCGAAGCGACGUCAAAGCGUUCAUUAAAGUCGAGUUGGCUUAGGGAUACGUUCGUUGGGUAGGGGAGCGUUCUGUAAGCCUGUGAAGGUGUGUCGUGAGGCAUGCUGGAGGUAUCAGAAGUGCGAAUGCUGACAUAAGUAACGAUAAAGCGGGUGAAAAGCCCGCUCGCCGGAAGACCAAGGGUUCCUGUCCAACGUUAAUCGGGGCAGGGUGAGUCGACCCCUAAGGCGAGGCCGAAAGGCGUAGUCGAUGGGAAACGGGUUAAUAUUCCCGUACUUGGUGUUACUGCGAAGGGGGGACGGAGAAGGCUAUGUUGGCCGGGCGACGGUUGUCCCGGUUUAAGCGUAUAGGUGUGUGUUCCAGGUAAAUCCGGUUCACUUUAACACUGAGGCGUGACGACGAGGCACUACGGUGCUGAAGCAACAAAUGCCCUGCUUCCAGGAAAAGCCUCUAAGCAUCAGGUAACACGAAAUCGUACCCCAAACCGACACAGGUGGUCAGGUAGAGAAUACCAAGGCGCUUGAGAGAACUCGGGUGAAGGAACUAGGCAAAAUGGUGCCGUAACUUCGGGAGAAGGCACGCUGACACGUAGGUGAAGUGAUUUACUCAUGGAGCUGAAGUCAGUCGAAGAUACCAGCUGGCUGCAACUGUUUAUUAAAAACACAGCACUGUGCAAACACGAAAGUGGACGUAUACGGUGUGACGCCUGCCCGGUGCCGGAAGGUUAAUUGAUGGGGUCAGCGUAAGCGAAGCUCCUGAUCGAAGCCCCGGUAAACGGCGGCCGUAACUAUAACGGUCCUAAGGUAGCGAAAUUCCUUGUCGGGUAAGUUCCGACCUGCACGAAUGGCGUAAUGAUGGCCAGGCUGUCUCCACCCGAGACUCAGUGAAAUUGAACUCGCUGUGAAGAUGCAGUGUACCCGCGGCAAGACGGAAAGACCCCGUGAACCUUUACUAUAGCUUGACACUGAACAUUGAGCCUUGAUGUGUAGGAUAGGUGGGAGGCUUUGAAGUGUGGACGCCAGUCUGCAUGGAGCCGACCUUGAAAUACCACCCUUUAAUGUUUGAUGUUCUAACGUGGACCCGUAAUCCGGGUUGCGGACAGUGUCUGGUGGGUAGUUUGACUGGGGCGGUCUCCUCCUAAAGAGUAACGGAGGAGCACGAAGGUUGGCUAAUCCUGGUCGGACAUCAGGAGGUUAGUGCAAUGGCAUAAGCCAGCUUGACUGCGAGCGUGACGGCGCGAGCAGGUGCGAAAGCAGGUCAUAGUGAUCCGGUGGUUCUGAAUGGAAGGGCCAUCGCUCAACGGAUAAAAGGUACUCCGGGGAUAACAGGCUGAUACCGCCCAAGAGUUCAUAUCGACGGCGGUGUUUGGCACCUCGAUGUCGGCUCAUCACAUCCUGGGGCUGAAGUAGGUCCCAAGGGUAUGGCUGUUCGCCAUUUAAAGUGGUACGCGAGCUGGGUUUAGAACGUCGUGAGACAGUUCGGUCCCUAUCUGCCGUGGGCGCUGGAGAACUGAGGGGGGCUGCUCCUAGUACGAGAGGACCGGAGUGGACGCAUCACUGGUGUUCGGGUUGUCAUGCCAAUGGCACUGCCCGGUAGCUAAAUGCGGAAGAGAUAAGUGCUGAAAGCAUCUAAGCACGAAACUUGCCCCGA
rnacentral:rRNA from 1 species